GAUCAUGGCUCAGGAUGAACGCUAGCGACAGGCUUAACACAUGCAAGUCGAGGGGCAGCAGGGUGUAGCAAUACACCGCCGGCGACCGGCGCACGGGUGAGUAACGCGUAUGCAACUUACCUAUCAGAGGGGGAUAACCCGGCGAAAGUCGGACUAAUACCGCAUGAAGCAGGGCCCGCAUGGGGAUAUUUGCUAAAGAUUCAUCGCUGAUAGAUAGGCAUGCGUUCCA
rnacentral:rRNA from 1 species